UACAGAGGUGGCAAGCGUUGUUCGGAAUCAUUGGGCGUAAAGCGCACGUAGGCGGGUUUCUAAGUUGAUUGUGAAAUCCCAGGGCUCAACCUUGGAAUUGCAGUCAAAACUGGAGAUCUUGAAUACUUGAGAGGGUGGGAGAAUUCCUGGUGGAGAAGUGAAAUUCGUAGAGAUCAGGAGGAAUACCGGAGGCGAAGGCGCCUGCCUGGCAAGAUAUUGACGCUGAGGUGCGAAAGCGUGGGUAGCAAACAGG
rnacentral:rRNA from 1 species